rnacentral:lncRNA from 1 species
CCAAGCCUUAUGCUUAUCCAUUCACCUAAAGAUUUUGUACUUUUAUUACAAAAAUUCAACUGUCGGUUAUCAUUUAGAUUCGUAGGUGGGUGUGUUUCAAUAAUUUUAUUUGUUAACGAUCCGAUAUCUGUACGUGCAUUACCAACUUCGUAAAUAUUAGUGCUUUAGACAUGCCUAAAACAAGCUGGGUUUGGAAGCAUGCUUUUGUGAUGAAUGACGGAUUCGUCAAGUGCGAUGUAUGUGACACCAAGUUGCAUUAUGGAGUAUCCACUUCAACUGUGCGCAAGCACUUAAAACAGAAACACAAGCUUCUGUAUCGGUAAAGGAAAGAUUUUUGCAUGAAGAUGAAAAUGAAGAUGAACGCUCUGAUUCUAGCAUACAGGAAUCAUUCAGUCCCGAGUCCGCAAACAACAAUGAAGAAGGUGUUAUGAUUAAAAGACCGAGAGAUUCGUCAUCAUCGUCAUCGCAAGAAGCCGCGCCUCCUCAUUUUCUGUCAAAAAGACAAGAGAAUAUUACCAAAGCUCUCGCAAAAAUUUUAGCUAUGUGCCAAUUGCCAUUGUCUUUUUCGCACAGUCAAGGAUUUAUUAACUUCAUGAAAGAAUUCGAUUCCGGAUAUAAGGUGCCGUAACCCCAGGAAAUAAAAUUUUGGGACUUGCAUACAGUGAAGUGAGGGAAAAGAUCACAAAGCGAUUAGAAACAGUAUCAUCAGUUUCUCUGACAACUGAUGAGUGGUCUUCAUUGGCAAAUGAAGGGUAUUUGUCCACGACCGUACACUACAUUGAUUAUAGCUGGUCUUUGUGUACACAUACGCUAAAUACUGUUGGCAUGGAAGAG